rnacentral:rRNA from 1 species
CAGCCAAGGCUAAAUAUAAUAUACGAUCGAUAGUGAACUAGUACAGCGAUGGAAAGGUGAAAAGAACCCCGGGAGGGGAGUGAAAUAGAUCCUGAAAUUGUGUGCCUACAAGGAGUCGGAGCUGGUAUUUAUACUGGUGACGGCGUGCUUUUUGUAGAACGAUCCAGCGAGUUAAUUUCAUGCGCAAGGUUAAGUCAAGUGACGGAGCCACAGUGAAAGCGAGCCUGAAUAGGGCGAAAUAAGUGUAUGGAAUUAGACCCGAAACCGGGUGACCUAACCAUGAGCAGGUUGAAGCUACUGUAACAGGUAGUGGAGGACCGCACCAGGAUGCGCAGCAAAGCAUUUGGAUGACUUGUGGUUAGCGGUGAAAUGCCAAUCGAACUCGGAGAUAGCUGGUUCUCCUCGAAAUAGCUUUAGGGCUAGCGUCAUGUAAUAUAACCAACGGGGGUAGAGCUCUGUAAACGACUGGGGCGGGCAACUGUACUCACCGUUAACAAACUACGAAUACCGUUGGUGGUACCAUGGCAGUCAGAACAUCGGGGCUAAGCUCGGUGCUCAAGAGGGAAACAGCCCAGACCAUCAUCUAAGGUCCCUAAAUUAACACUAAGUGGGAAACAAAGUGAAAUUUCUUAAACAGCGAGGAUGUUGGCUUAGAAGCAGCCAUUCAUUUAAAGAGUGCGUAACAGCUCACUCGUCAAGAGAUUUUGCGUGGAAAAUGUAACGGGGCUAAAGUGUUAUACCGAAGAUAUGGAUUUACUAAUUUCUACGGAUUUUAGUAAGUGGUAGAGGAGCGUUCCUAUCUGCAGUGAAGUUCAACUGUAAAGUUGGGUGGAGCGUUAGGAAGUGAGAAUGCUGGAAUGAGUAACCAUAAGACAGGUGAGAAUCCUGUCGGCCGCAAGAGCAAGGUUUCCAGGGCUACUGUAAUAAUCCCUGGGUUAGUCGGGCCUAAGUCGAGGCGUAGUAGCGUAGACGAUGGACAUCAGGUUAAUAUUCCUGAACCGGUUAUAAUUUGCUAAUUAUUCACGUCUAAUAGUCAGGAGCGGAUUAUUGGUAUAUAUCCGUUCAAGUGUCUUGCCCUUGGGGGUGAGCAUGAGUAAAACGAACUCUUAGGAGUUUGAAUUCCUGAGGAUAGGAUGGCCAGAAAAGAUAAUUAGCGCGUGGUUAUAGCCGCCCGUACCGCAAACCAACACAGGUGCUCGAGUCGAGUAGACUAAGGCUUACGAGAGACCCUUCGCUAAGGAACUCGGCAAAACAGCGACCGUAACUUCGGGAUAAGGUCCGCCCCCACAUCAUUUGAUGUGUGCCGCGUUUAAGCAACAGCGAAACGGUGAAUAAAUUAAAAUAUGGUAAUAUUGAGUACAUUUAUAUUUCGAAUAUAAAUGUUAAAAACCUUUUAAUUCACAAUUUUUUUCUGAGAUAGAUAUUAUAUGAUUAUAAUAACAAGCUUGAGCGCGAAUCUCACGCAUCUAACGAUGUGGGGGCCGCAGCAAAAGAGCCCACGGAACUGUUUAUCAAAAACACAGGUCUCUGCUAACACGAAAGUGGAUGU